rnacentral:rRNA from 1 species
AGAGUUUGAUCCUGGCUCAGGACGAACGCUGGCGGCGUGCUUAACACAUGCAAGUCGAACGGAAAGGCCCUGCUUGCAGGGUACUCGAGUGGCGAACGGGUGAGUAACACGUGGGUGAUCUGCCCUGCACUUCGGGAUAAGCCUGGGAAACUGGGUCUAAUACCGGAUAGGAGCCAUUUUUAGUGUGAUGGUUGGAAAGUUUUUCGGUGUAGGAUGAGCUCGCGGCCUAUCAGCUUGUUGGUGGGGUAAUGGCCUACCAAGGCGGCGACGGGUAGCCGGCCUGAGAGGGUGGACGGCCACAUUGGGACUGAGAUACGGCCCAGACUCCUACGGGAGGCAGCAGUGGGGAAUAUUGCACAAUGGGCGCAAGCCUGAUGCAGCGACGCCGCGUGGGGGAUGACGGCCUUCGGGUUGUAAACUCCUUUCGCUAGGGACGAAGCUUUUUGUGACGGUACCUAGAUAAGAAGCACCGGCUAACUACGUGCCAGCAGCCGCGGUAAUACGUAGGGUGCGAGCGUUGUCCGGAAUUACUGGGCGUAAAGGGCUCGUAGGUGGUUUGUCGCGUCGUCUGUGAAAUUCCGGGGCUUAACUCCGGGCGUGCAGGCGAUACGGGCAUAACUUGAGUACUGUAGGGGUAACUGGAAUUCCUGGUGUAGCGGUGAAAUGCGCAGAUAUCAGGAGGAACACCGAUGGCGAAGGCAGGUUACUGGGCAGUUACUGACGCUGAGGAGCGAAAGCAUGGGUAGCGAACAGGAUUAGAUACCCUGGUAGUCCAUGCCGUAAACGGUGGGCGCUAGGUGUGAGGGUCUUUUCACGACUUUCGUGCCGUAGCUAACGCAUUAAGCGCCCCGCCUGGGGAGUACGGCCGCAAGCUAAAACUCAAAGGAAUUGACGG